GUCCACGCUGUAAACGAUGUACAUUAGGCGCCAGAUAGUAUCGACCCUUUUUGGUGCCAAAGCUAACGCGUUAAAUGUACCGCCUGGGGAGUACGGCCGCAAGGCUAAAACUCAAAGGAAUUGACGGGGACCCCGCACAAGCGGUGGAGCAUGUGGUUUAAUUCGACGAUAAGCGAGGAACCUUACCAGGUCUUGACAUGUAGCUGCAUAUAUUAGAAAUAGUAUAGCCUUCGAGGGUGCUACACAGGUUCUGCACGGUUGUCGU
rnacentral:rRNA from 1 species